UAGUCCACGCAGUAAACGAUGAGUGCUAGUCGCUGGUGCAAUAGUAUCAGUGUCGUAGCUAACGCAUUAAGCACUCCGCCUGGGAAGUACGGCCGCAAGGCUAAAACUCAAAUGAAUUGACGGGGACCCGCACAAGCGGUGGAGCAUGUGGUUUAAUUCGAUGCAACGCGAAAAACCUUACCUACUCUUGACAUACUUGGGAGCUCUUGUAAUGAGAGUGUGCCUUUUGGAACCAAGAUACAGGUGCUGCAUGGCUGUCGUCAGCUCGUGUCGUGAAAUGUUCCGUUAAGUCGGAUAACGAGCGCAACCCUUACCCUUAUUUGCCAGCGAUUCGGUCGGGAACUAUAAGGGGACUGCCGGUGAUAAACCGGAGGAAGGUGAGGACGACGUCAAGUCAUCAUGGGCCCUUACGAGUAGGGGCUACACACGUGCUACAAUGGGGGAAUACAGACGGACGCUAAGCCGCGAGGGUGGGUGGCUAAUCCUAGAAAGUUUC
rnacentral:rRNA from 1 species